rnacentral:rRNA from 1 species
UAGGGAAUCUUCGGCAAUGGGGGGAACCCUGACCGAGCAACGCCGCGUGAGUGAAGAAGGUUUUCGGAUCGUAAAGCUCUGUUGUUAAGGAAGAACGAGUGUGAGAAUGGAAAGUUCAUACUGUGACGGUACUUAACCAGAAAGGGACGGCUAACUACGUGCCAGCAGCCGCGGUAAUACGUAGGUCCCGAGCGUUGUCCGGAUUUAUUGGGCGUAAAGCGAGCGCAGGCGGUUAGAUAAGUCUGAAGUUAAAGGCAGUGGCUCAACCAUUGUAGGCUUUGGAAACUGUUUAACUUGAGUGCAGAAGGGGGGAGUGGAAUUCCAUGUGUAGCGGUGAAAUGCGUCGAUAUAUGGAGGAACACCGGUGGCGAAAGCGGCUCUCUGGUCUGUAACUGACGCGGAGGCUCGAAAGCGUGGGGAGCGAACAGG